AGGACUAACGCUGGCGGCGUGCCUAACACAUGCAAGUCGAACGGGGGUAGCAAUACCCCAGUGGCAGACGGGUGAGUAACACGUGGUCAACCUACCUCUGUGUGGGGGAUAACUAGCCGAAAGGUUAGCUAAUACCGCAUACGAUCGUUUUGAGGCAUCUCGAGACGAUGAAAGGAGCAAUCCGCACGGAGAGGGGACUGCGUCCCAUUAGUUAGUUGGUGGGGUAACGGCCUACCAAGACUCCGAUGGGUAGCUGGCUUGAGAGAGCGACCAGCCACACUGGAACUGAGACACGGUCCAGACUCCUACGGGAGGCAGCAGUGAGGAAUUUUCCGCAAUGGGCGAAAGCCUGACGGAGCGACGCCGCGUGUGGGAUGAAGGCCUUCGGGUCGUAAACCACUGUCGAAGGGGACGAUAGUUGACGGUACCCUUGGAGGAAGCCCGGCUAACUACGCGCCAGCAGCCGC
rnacentral:rRNA from 1 species